rnacentral:misc_RNA from 1 species
AACGCACAUUGCGCCUAUUGGUAUUCCAAUAGGCACGCCUGUUCGAGCGUCAUUUAACUCUUCAAGCUUUGCUUGGUGUUGGGUAUUGUUCGCCUUGCGAACUUGCCUUGAAUAAAUUGGCAGUCAACAAUUGGGUGUUGGAGCGCAGCACAUUUUGCGUUCUUGACCCUAGUAGCUGGCGUCCAGAAAGCUUAUUUCAACGUUUGACCUCGGAUCAGGUAGGGACACCCGCUGAACUUAA